UUGAUAGAAGUUUCAAAAACUGUGUGCAUUGUUCAACUGUACCUGGAGAAAAGCCAAGUCCCCAGAAGGAAUUCAGUUAUUGCUGUGAGAGGACGAAAGCAGAUCUUUCAACAGAUAAAAGUCACAACAGGUUUCUAUAUUACAUUUU